CAAACUUUCUCCAGCCAUUCCUCUCCAGGACUCGUAGGAGUCAACAUCCAUCCGUAUCAGCCUGACCCUCACUUCACUUUGGGAUGGAAUAAAGAUCGAAUCUAACGACUGUCUUCUCUAAUAAUUUACAGCUCGACAAACCCUAACCAGACAACAAAACAAACAACAAAACUUGUUGAAACAAAGGCCAACAUCACGGUGAUCGCUGACAUGAUCGUUUCUACAGGAAACAUUGUAAUGUGUAUGGAAUUGUGUGAAAACAGUGCUGCGUUGUGUUCGAAUCCUGGUCACUGGCACCCAAUCAGCUCAUGUAACAAAACACGAGUGACAAGGGUUGAUGGAGUAAAACAUGACAACCAAAUGUCUAAGAUGGGGGAUCUGUGGUACAGGAAAGAUCUCCAACGACUUCUGCUCUGCCAUGACAACACUACCUGAUGGAGAUCAU